GGAAACUACAUACGAUGAAAAAAUUGUGA
rnacentral:sRNA from 1 species